UUGGAUAGAGCGUAAAAUUAAACAGAAACAUUUUUUAUUAAAAAAAUUCGUACCUUGUUUUUAAGAACAGUCAAAUAAAAAAACAGUAAUGUUAAGAGAUCAGAGCUGUGAAAGAGAUACAUUUUUCAAUGGGCCUUCGUACCAUUUGAACAGAAAAGGUUUGAUACUAUGCGGUGGCUGGCCUUACCUCAAUCCAAGAAAAAGAAAAAUUAUAUGGUGGACCAUUAAUUUGGCCAUAUUUACGGCGUGGGUGCCAGAGUUAAUUUACAUCAUUGAAAUAUUCGACGACGCGCAAAAAGUGAUCUACUGCACGAUGGCGUUUCUGAUCUCGUACUUGGCUUUCUGCGCAUCGGUCAAUGCCGUCGUAAACCACAACUCGAUGAAACAAGUACUCGACUCUUUGAAAGACAAUUGGAACGAUCUACAGAACGACGAAGAGAGAGAGAUUUUCGAGAAAUACGCGAAUUUCGGCAAGAUCUUCAGUAUCGGCCUGUCAGUUUGCUAUUUUGGCAAUUUAUCGCUGUACUUUGUGUCACCGCUGAUACCGUCGAUGCUGCAUUACCGCGCCACGGGCAACUGGACCACGCCCGAGAAAAACUUCCUCGAGGUCGAGUACUUCGUCGAUCCGGUCAAAUAUUACUGGCACAUUUAUGUUCACGGGGCCCAAGCCGGCAGCUGGGUCGUUUGCGUGCUGACAGCCUACGACUCGUUCUUCAUCGUACUGGUGCAGCACUGCUGCGGCAUGUUCGCCGUUUUGGGGUAUAAAAUUGGAAAGAUGGACAAAGAAAUUCAUGAUUAUCGUCACGAUCAGCAUUCGGUUGUGGAAAAAAUUGAGAAAAUUGUGAUGUAUCAUCUUCAUUGUCUCAAAUUCGCGAAAAAAAUUGAGGAUGCCUUCUGCAUGCAGAUGAUACAACAGAUAAUGAUUAAUACAAUUAUCAUAAGCGUAUGCGGAUCACAGGCAAUAAAACUCGCGGACGAGUCUAAGCAGGAAUCAUUCAGAUUCGCUUAUCUGGCUUGUUCGACAAUUUUUCGUCUGACUAUUUUUAAUAUUUUGGGACAAAGCGUGUACGAUCAGAGCCUUCGGGUAUACGACCAUUUAAUAUACACCAGUUGGUACGAGUAUCCGACGGAGACGAGGAAAUUAUUCAUAAUCCUUUACAACAGAAGCGCCGAGCCUUGCAAUCUCACGGGUGCCAAGAUAAUUUGCCUGAAUCUUAUUACUUAUUCGAAGCUAAUGAAAACGGCGAUGUCUUAUUUCAUGAUGAUUAUCCAAACGUUAUGAGAUGUCUAUUUCUUAUGAUAAAAGCUCAGGCAAUUAUUAUUCGACAUUGACUUUCUUACCCAUUUUUUGAAGACAACAAUUGUUUACAUGUUCGUCAUCAACUACUAUUGUCAUCAUUUUAUUUCUGAUGAAGUAUUUCAUGUAUUCAUAUUGAAACAGUAAACACAUGAUAGCAU